UAGGGAAUCUUCCACAAUGGGCGAAAGCCUGAUGGAGCAACGCCGCGUGUGUGAUGAAGGGUUCCGGCUCGUAAAACACUGUUGUAAGAGAAGAAUGACAUUGAGAGUAACUGUUCAAUGUGUGACGGUAACUACCCAGAAAGGGACGGCUAACUACGUGCUAG
rnacentral:rRNA from 1 species